AUCUAGAUAAAUCCCCCGCUCUGCUGUUGGAUCGCAAAAUUGUUAUAUUUUCUAUCCCUUUAUCGGGGAAAUAACUCGCUCAUCUUGCAGUAUUCUGCUUGUUUUCCCACUCUCGCUACAAAGCGGUUAAAAUAAUGUUGCCAGGGAAAUGUCUCAAAUCAGAGACAUUACCGUAGAAAUUGGCAAGAGUCGGAAAUUCACAACGGCGGAUCGAACAGCAGUCGAAGAUGCAAGAUCCAACCCGCCGACCCGGUCCGGCUGUGUACACAGCCAGGAUUUUCCGGCGCCGGUGCUGAACCGGCUGCCCGUCUGAGGGGUGGAUAUUUUUUACAGUGUAGGUUUCUACGACUGGAGGGGGCUUGGGAGGAGAGUGGGAGGGGGGCUCUGACAGGCACAAUUUACAUUGAGCUCGCCCCGCGCUGCUAUUUACUUUGAAACCUGAUUAGUAUGGGCCGUCUAUUGUCACCAAAAAGAGGAAGAAACCCUGGAUAGAAUAGCGAAAAAAGCGGGUUAAAGGCGAGAGAGAGAGAAACAGAGAGAGAGAGAGAAAGAGAGAGAGAGGAGGUGGGGGACAAAGCUUUUAAGCACGACAAAUAAAACCAAAAGCUGUGCGCUGCGACCAAAAGGGGGGAUUCUGACUCAGAUUUUUUCCCCCCUUAAAGUUUCAGAAUGCCUUGUCUCGGACUGUUAUCUUUAUUAUUAAACUAACGGGGGUCUCUGCUGUUGGGAGCGGAUUAAUAUUUUCACACGCUGUUUUUUGUCCUUGGCAUGCGCAUUGCGGUACAGCAUCGUGUGUAAUCGGCACCAGUUUCGCUCAUUAAAACUUAAAAUUUAGUUUAAAAGCAGUUUAGGGGGAAAAAAAACAUCACUGUGCAGAAUGAUGCGCAAACGCCGCCGUUGUGCUGGAAGCCUUUUCAGAUGCGGGGGAAUCUCUUGAAAUUCGGAGCGACGUUUAACAAUUGCCAACAUCUCACAGUCGCACAACCACUUCAAUAGGAGUAGUUUUUUUUUUAUGUGUGUGUUAAUAAUGACAUUAAUUCAAAAUCGAGCGAAGUUACGGGGAAUUUGCACGGAGAUUCCAGCUUUUAUGCAUCAGUGUUUCUGCAGGCGUCUCAUACUCAAAAAUGUCUGGAUCGCGCUGCCAUCUAGCGUACGUUGUGCAAUUACAUCCACAUAACACCCCAACGUGCAAGCCAUCAAACUUGCAUUUUUAAGCGCUUAAAUAGAUCUUAGACAAUAAUUAAAAAGCUCGAACGUGCGUAGAAUUGUCUUGUGCACUUUUAUAGUUCAUAAAAAGUGAAUUUCACAGGUUAAAGAUAUCGGAAGACAUUAAUAAAUUAUUAAGAAAACAUGAACAUGCAUUGAUUAGAGUAUCAUAAUUCAUAAUUAAUGUUUAAACAGUGCUUCCUAAUUAAAACGACGCUCUGUUUAUAUAAAACCAAGACGCAAAAAAAUGCCAGUUGUAUCCAGAAGCUUAGGAAAUAAUAACGCAACACUCAAAUACAUAAAAGUACUUUAACACAACAAAGCACGCAUAAGCACGUCUAGACUCAAACAGAGAUAUAAGGAGAUAUAACAUAGCGUUAAUAUAUGGAAGUGCCUCUGUUUGAAUGCGCAUUCAGGAGGGAUGGCUUGUUUUUUAAGUAUUCAAUAAGAGCGCUCUCUCUCCCCGUCCCUGUCUCGGACACACACCGUGGAAACUCUCCGGCCAUGUCUCCAGCAUUCUGAAAAGGUGAAACCAAUAAGAUUAAAUCGGACAAUGCAUUUUUUUUGCCCCCUUUCUUCCCCCUUUGGUGUAUCAUUAAGAUUUAACUCCGCACAUUUUGAUAAAAGAAUGGGGGUCCGCAUGAGGGAAGAAGAGGAGAGAGAAGAGAGGACAAGAGUGAGAGGGGGAAGCGAAUAGGAAGCGGGGUAGAUAUAUUAGAGAGGCUCUGAUAGAAACCUGCAUGUGGAGAAAGUGGACGGGUGGGAUGUUGGAAGAAGGAGAAGAAGCACCGGUGCAGGAGCGGCUGCUGUGCAGUCACAGAGAAGGCUCACAGCGCUGUAGCUGCAGGAGGCGUCCGAACAAACGCUGAAGGAGGACUGAGAUGCUGGGAUGGGGUUUUCCUUAAUGCUGUUUGAUUUUAGGAAGAGGUUGUCCCUAUUUAGUAGGACAGGGGUUUAUGUGCUGGAUAAAUUGAGGAUUAAAAUUUGAUUCAUCCUUAUUGCCCUUUAGAAAUCCCAUUUCCAAUUUUAUAUUGGCUUCUUUGAAAUUAAGAUGUGGAAAAGAGUGUAGUAUGAUUUUCUGGGAAUCUAACAUCAGCAACUUUCACGGCAGGAAUCCAAAAUGAAAUUAUUUUGAAGUGAUAGUGAUAUAAAUGUAAAAACCUAUCAUGGACUCUGCUGGUUUAACUGUGACAAGAUUAAAAGAAUCAGUGACAAAAUAAUAGCUUUACAAAGUUUGUUUAUACCUUUUACUUGUUGUAAGCACAUAAGUGACAUGAUAUGAAAACAACACAAAUUUCCGUAAUCUCUUCUAGAAAUGCACCAAUCAGGAUUUUCUGACGAUAUUGAAUUUCAAUUUUGGUCAAUUGUUCUGAUCUGCCAAUAUAUAUAUAUAUUUUUUUCGUAUUCCAAUUUUUUCUGGUCAGUUCUGUGACAGAUCAUAGAGGAAUAGUGUCGUUUGAUGGAGAUAGUACUUUUGAAUUCAAUAGAAAGCAAAGAAUUAAAAAAAUAAUCAAACAUUUCCCCCUUUUUUGUUUCUAUCAAACUCCAAAAAGUUCCUCUUUAUGGAGGGUUUAAGUUGAUGUCUUUAUAGAGUGAAAAUGGUGUGAGUUUAUACCUGUGAUAGUUGGGUAUAAACUCACACAGCGGAAAAGUUAUUAAGUCAGAUUUCCCCUGAAUCUGACUUUUUUCUACUAUUGAACGUUAAUAGUAGAAUACUGUGAUUAUAUAUUGGGCAACGCAAGAGCUAACAUCAUUCUCACUUGAUUUCAAGAUUUUCACUCUGAAUCCCAUUCACAAUUUUACAUUCCUUUUUUUUUCAUCAUGUAAAUUAUUGGACUUAUUUCACGCUUUAUGGCUGGAAAUGACUCAAGGUGUUCCACAGCACAAAGCAAGAGACUACAGUUUGCUUUAGCCCCAUCGCAACAGAUCAGGAAAAACAAGCAGAGAAUGACCAUUAUUGAUGAUUUGUGCAGACGGACCUCAGACGAUCUUGAAUUAUGUGUGAGAGCAAAAGAUAGACACUUGCACAUUGCUGUGUUUACUUCGGCCUUGUGUAUGUGUGUGUGUCAGUUUUCCCUCAGAUGUUCCUUGUGACCUUUGACUCUGGAGCCGGGGUCAAACCCUGACAAAUGAGACGGUUGAGCUCUGAGCAGAGCAGCAAACAUUCCACAACCAUCUUCUGUCCUCCUUCUCCUACUCCUUACAUCACUCACCCCUCUCUCUCCAUCUCCUCUUUAAGCAUGACGGGAGCAAAUAAUGUUUAAAACUAACAAUGAUGAUAUUGGAUAAGUUUUACAACUGCCUUUUUAUAUUAAAUCAGAGAAAUCGUGUGAUCUGAGAGAAGUAAAUGCUGCUAAAGAGUUGAAAUUUUACAACUAUGCACUUUAACAACACACUCCCUGUUGUGUCUAUGAGUGUAUGUGCGUGUGCGUACAUGCGCGCGCAUGUGUGUGUGGAAAGACUGUCAGUGAUGUCAAGGAUGAGAAAUGUUGCUGUGAGGUUUUUUACACACGCUGCUGGCUCCAGCAUUUCCGGCAACAUUUCUCACUCUGCCUCCCUCACACCAUCCGCUCUCCUGCAAUAUCCCGACAUUUUUCCGUUCUCUUCCCUGCACCCUCCCCUCCUCACUUUCAAUCCCCACUUCAAACUUCCUCUCCUUGUGCCAUCCUACUCAUCCUAAUCUCAGCCCUUUUCCUUUCUCUCUCUCUUUCUCUCUCUCCCUCUCUCGCUCGCUUUCUCUCUCACACGCACACUCUCUCCACCCACUAUACUCUCUGAUUUUCUUGACACAGAAUGCAACCACCUGUGUCUUUAGGAUGAAUGUGAGGAGUUAUCCACCUUACUCCAGUGAGAGCUGGUUAAGGUAAGUGGGUUGUUGUUUAUUCUACAUUUUUUGAAUGAAAUUGCUGCAACAAGCCUAACUACCCUUUACAAAUGCUCCAGUUACUGCUGUGAUAACUGUGAUAACAGUUGUCUAAUUAUGAACGUCAGCAGAGCAGCCAGUGUCGGAAAGGACAUGCAAAGCAGUAAGACAGUGUGAAGCUAUUGAACUUGUACAAUGAUGUAAUGUAACAGUUACUGGAAUGCAGUUCCACACAGCACAUAAUCCUAAUAAAAACAAAAAACACCAAUAUA